AGAGGCGCGGGUGUUCGGCUACGUCACUGGGGCGCUACGGUUCCUGGAGCUGGGCAGUCUUCUCGUCAGAGUGGGGACUGGUAAGAGCGACCUCCCCGCCAGGUCCUGUGUGUUGCCGGCUGAAGAAGGGAUGAUGAUUAUUCCCCACCUUCUAAGAGACAAAGACCAACGAGCCACCACAGCCACCAGUCCCAGAACCCGCCAAUGCUGGGGAAUGGAAAAUGAGGGAGUUCAACUCUGGCCCUCACAAUCCAGUGGAGGAGACGAAACUCAUCUGCCUCUGUCCCUCUGGGCACACCUCAUGCCAGGUGCAUCUGUGGACAGGGGCCAUGCUCCUGGGCUUCCAAAGUUGGAGAAAGCUGCCAGGCUCAGGGGUUUCAAAUAUACACAAAAGAAAUAUGUUGAACCUCCAGGCACCCAACCCGCAGAUUAAGCAGUUACCUCCAUUUUUCCAGAUUUGUUUCAUCUGCUUCAAUCUCCCUAAAAAUUUAUGUUUGUACAGGAAAGACUGAAUAAAUAGCUAAUUCUCCGCCC
rnacentral:lncRNA from 1 species